AGUGAACGCUGGCGGUAGGCCUAACACAUGCAAGUCGAACGGCAGCACAGUAAGAGUUUGCUUUUACGGGUGGCGAGUGGCGGACGGGUGAGGAGUACAUCGGAAUCUACUUUUUCGUGGGGGAUAACGUAGGGAAACUUACGCUAAUACCGCAUACGACCUACGGGUGAAAGCAGGGGAUCUUCGGACCUUUCGCGAUUGAAUGAGCCGAUGUCGGAUUAGCUUGUUGGCGGGGUAAAGGCCCACCAAGGCGACGAUCCGUAGCUGGUCUGAGAGGAUGAUCAGCCACACUGGAACUGAGACACGGUCCAGACUCCUACGGGAGGCAGCAGUGGGGAAUAUUGGACAAUGGGCGCAAGCCUGAUCCAGCCAUACCGCGUGGGUGAAGAAGGCCUUCGGGUUGUAAAGCCCUUUUGUUGGGAAAGAAAAGCAGCAGGUUAAUACCCCGCUGUUCUGACGGUACCCAAAGAAUAAGCACCGGCUAACUUCGUG
rnacentral:rRNA from 1 species